rnacentral:rRNA from 1 species
CAAAAGCGUAUAUUAAAGUUGUUGCAGUUAAAAAGCUCGUAGUUGAACCUUGGGCUUGGCUGGCCGGUCCAUCUUUUUUGAUGCGUACUGGACCCAGCCGAGCCUUUCCUUCUGGCUAGCCUUUUGGCGAACCAGGACUUUUACUUUGAAAAAAUUAGAGUGUUCAAAGCAGGCCUUUGCUCGAAUAUAUUAGCAUGGAAUAAUAGAAUAGGACGUUAUGGUUCUAUUUUGUUGGUUUCUAGGACCAUCGUAAUGAUUAAUAGGGACGGUCGGGGGUAUCAGUAUUCAGUUGUCAGAGGUGAAAUUCUUGGAUUUACUGAAGACUAACUACUGCGAAAGCAUUUACCAAGGACGUUUUCAUUAA